AGAGUUUGAUCAUGGCUCAGAUUGAACGCUGGCGGCAUGCCUUACACAUGCAAGUCGAACGGUAACAGGUCUUCGGAUGCUGACGAGUGGCGAACGGGUGAGUAAUACAUCGGAACGUGCCCGAUCGUGGGGGAUAACGGAGCGAAAGCUUUGCUAAUACCGCAUACGAUCUACGGAUGAAAGCAGGGGACCGCAAGGCCUUGCGCGGACGGAGCGGCCGAUGGCAGAUUAGGUAGUUGGUGGGAUAAAAGCUUACCAAGCCGACGAUCUGUAGCUGGUCUGAGAGGACGACCAGCCACACUGGGACUGAGACACGGCCCAGACUCCUACGGGAGGCAGCAGUGGGGAAUUUUGGACAAUGGGCGAAAGCCUGAUCCAGCCAUGCCGCGUGCAGGAUGAAGGCCUUCGGGUUGUAAACUGCUUUUGUACGGAACGAAAAGACUCCUUCUAAUAAAGGGGGUUCAUGACGGUACCGUAAGAAUAAGCACCGGCUAACUACGUGCCAGCAGCCGCGGUAAUACGUAGGGUGCAAGCGUUAAUCGGAAUUACUGGGCGUAAAGCGUGCGCAGGCGGUUAUAUAAGACAGAUGUGAAAUCCCCGGGCUCAACCUGGGAACUGCAUUUGUGACUGUAUAGCUAGAGUACGGCAGAGGGGGAUGGAAUUCCGCGUGUAGCAGUGAAAUGCGUAGAUAUGCGGAGGAACACCGAUGGCGAAGGCAAUCCCCUGGGCCUGUACUGACGCUCAUGCACGAAAGCGU
rnacentral:rRNA from 1 species